rnacentral:rRNA from 1 species
CACGUAGGGGCGAGCGUUGUCCGGAAUUACUGGGCGUAAAGGGCGCGCAGGCUGUUAUGCGAGUCUGCUGUGAAAUGUACCGGCUCAACCGGUGCCUUGCGGCGGAUACUGCAUAGCUGGAGUACUGGAGAGGGAAGUGGAAUUCCCGGUGUAGCGGUGAAAUGCGUAGAUAUCAGGAGGAACACCGGUGGCGAAGGCGGGUCUCUGGGCUGUGACUGACACUGAGGAGCGAAAGCAUGGGGAGCGAACAGGAUUA